rnacentral:rRNA from 1 species
AAUGAACGCUGGCGGCAUGCCUAACACAUGCAAGUCGAACGAGAGCAUCGGGUUUGGUGGCGCACGCGGGCGUAAAGCGGGGGACCCUGCCCUUAGGCUUGGCAAAACUCCCCGACAGGGGUGCUAAAACCGGCGAAUGUCUUCCGACCAACGUUUGAUGGCCAUUGGAUGGGCCCGCGUUGGAUUAGCUAGUUGGUAGGGUAAAAGCCUACCACGGCGACGUUCCAUAGCGGGUCUGGGAGGAUGGUCAGCCACACUGGGACUAAGACACGGAGCAGACUCCUACAGGAGGCAGCAGUGGGGAAUAUGGGACAGUCGACUAGAGUCUGAUCCAGCGAUGCCGCGUGAGGGAUGCAGGCCUUAGGGUUGGAAAGCUCGGUUACCCGGGGGGAUAUUGACGGUACCGGGUGAAUAAGCACCGGCUAACUCCGUG